rnacentral:ncRNA from 1 species
AGAAACGCGAUGAUGAGAAGAGUAAGGAAAUAUGCACAUAUACAGAGAGCUCCUGCAGCUGAGAAGGAGCAAUGAGCUGUUUCCCGAACCAAGCCUCUGAGCAGCAUGCCGGAUCCGUACAACCGUGGGAUGGCAUGACGGGAGCUCCCGUUAUAGAGCUAGAGUAUAAGCAUGCUUCUUAUGCCGUACUCGAUGAGAUUAAUAUGGCGACAUAUUAAUGAACCCGGAGUGGUACCACGAUAACUUCGUCCCCAAG